GGAUGAUGACGAUUUACUGUGAAAGGUCUCGUUCGUCGUAAUGGCGAUUUCGCCUUGCCGACCAUCCUGAUAUAUCACCACCCAUAUUCCGAGUCC
rnacentral:snoRNA from 1 species